UACCCGCAGCACAAGUGGUGGUCAUUAUUAUUGGGCCUAAAGCGUCCGUAGCUGGCUUGUUAGAUGCCUGGGUAAAUCGAUGCGCUCAACGCAUCGAACUCCGGGUAGACCGGCAAGCUUGGGACCGGGAGAGGCGUGAGCUACUCGAGGGGUAGGGGUAAAAUGCGUAGAGAUGCGGAAGAACACCAGUGGCGAAGGCGGUCAACUGGCCUCAUAUUGACACUCAGACGCGAAGGCAUGGGUAGCGAACGGG
rnacentral:rRNA from 1 species